rnacentral:misc_RNA from 1 species
GUUCAGUAGUUCUCCUUUAUCGGAGCGAGCCUGGGCUUCCACGGGUCCCGGCACGGCGACGUGCUGGCGCCGCCGCCGACGCAGUCCUCGGCACGGAGCUCGCCCUUGAGCUCCUCCAUCCGGGCCUUGCGCUCCCGCGCGCCCUGCGCGUUCAGCCUCGCCACCAGCGCCUCCGCGUCCUUCCUCUUCAGCACGACCUUCACCGUGACGACGACCGAGGCCUUUGCCUUUCUGACGGCGUCGUCGUCGUCGGACCCGACGCCGCCCGCCCACGAGACUCGGACUCCCCCCGCACGAGC